rnacentral:lncRNA from 1 species
AGCUGGAUUAGAGGCUGCACCGCUUCCUCUGGGGCUCGCAAGCGCUUCCUGGGACCCUUUGAAGUGGGUUUUCCGCAAAUCCUGCCCUCGGGGGGCCAGGGCGGGGCCCCCCGCGAGAGGCGGGGCCUCCGCUCAGUCCCCAGGGUCACCAGGGUGCCUUCCGCCCAUCUCCCGUUUAGAUUCUCUGCCCCCUCCUCCAGCCCCCGCCCCUCAUUCCGAGGGGCCCUCCCUCCCCCAUCAGUCCACAUCCUCCUGGCCUUCCAGCUGGGUUUAGUGUCUGAUCCCUACCUUACUUCUCUGUCUAGCCUCAGAGUGUCGGGCCUGCCUGCAGCGAAGUAUUUUAAAAAGCACAGCAAGCCAGACGUGGUGGCUCAGGCCUGCAAGUCCAGCGAUUGGGUCUCGAAAGCAGGAGAGGACUUGCCCCGAGUUCAAGGCCAGCCCGAGCUUCAUAAUGAGAAAUCAAAGCAAAUGAGGAGCCCACAGGCAAGGAAACUGAGGUAUCCUGUUCAAACCUGCGCCACCCUGCUGCAGCAAAGAUCGAGUCCACCUGACCCUAUGGUCCUGGUUCAACUCUACUACACAAGUGGCCUCCUGUGCCCCUCUCUAGUCUAGUUCCUGCCCCCCCCAAUAAAACUCCAGUGUUCCCUGGGCAGAUCCAUCAAAGGCCUCUUCAAAAUGACACACAUAAAUGGAGUGUGAUGGCUCACACCUGGAAUCCCAGAUGUUGAAACAGGAGGAUUGCUGUGAGUUUGAGGCCAAUUUGGGCUGCAUAGUGAGACUGGUCUCAACACACACUCACACUUUGGUGUGGUGAUUUAGGCCUAUAAUCCCCAGCACUAGGGAGGUGGAGGCAAGAGGAUGACGAUUUCAAGGCUAGCCUUGGCUACUUAGUAGAGUUGGCGGUGAGCCUGGACUACAUGAGGAUCUGUCUAACCAAAAUAAAACAAACCAUAAUUUGAGAUGUUCA